UGGCGGCGUGCCUAAUACAUGCAAGUAGAACGCUGAAGACUUUAGCUUGCUAAAGUUGGAAGAGUUGCGAACGGGUGAGUAACGCGUAGGUAACCUGCCUACUAGCGGGGGAUAACUAUUGGAAACGAUAGCUAAUACCGCAUAACAGCAUUUAACCCAUGUUAGAUGCUUGAAAGGAGCAAUUGCUUCACUAGUAGAUGGACCUGCGUUGUAUUAGCUAGUUGGUGAGGUAACGGCUCACCAAAGGCGACGAUACAUAGCCGACCUGAGAGGGUGAUCGGCCACACUGGGACUGAGACACGGCCCAGACUCCUACGGGAGGCAGCAGUAGGGAAUCUUCGGCAAUGGGGGCAACCCUGACCGAGCAACGCCGCGUGAGUUGAGAAGGUUUUCGGAUCGUAAAGCUCUGUUGUAAGAGAAGAACGUGUGUGAGAGUGGAAAGUUCACACAGUGACGGUAACUUACCAGAAAGGGACGGCUAACUACGUGCCAGCAGCCGC
rnacentral:rRNA from 1 species